GAGUGAGGGGUAGGUAGCCAACCCUAGUAUGGGGAGGAAGUUCUGCCCUCUAUGAGGAUAAUUGAGCUUUAAGGGCUCGGGAGUGCUACAGAAACGAUACCUUUUUGUUUAAAGGGGCGCUGCCCCUUUGGAACCCUGCUGGGUGUGGGGUGUCCCCACAAACAAAAAAAGGAUGCAACGCGUACUCCUUUAUCCAGUGACAGAGUAAGGCGAAUUAUCGCCGCUUAGUCAAAUGCUACCAGAUACAAAAGGCAGACUAUUCCCCUCACUU
rnacentral:RNase_P_RNA from 1 species